rnacentral:rRNA from 1 species
CCUACGGGAGGCAGCAGUGGGGAAUAUUGCACAAUGGGCGCAAGCCUGAUGCAGCGACGCCGCGUGAGGGAUGACGGCCUUCGGGUUGUAAACCUCUUUCAGUAGGGAAGAAGCGAAAGUGACGGUACCUGCAGAAGAAGCGCCGGCUAACUACGUGCCAGCAGCCGCGGUAAUACGUAGGGCGCAAGCGUUAUCCGGAAUUAUUGGGCGUAAAGAGCUCGUAGGCGGUUUGUCGCGUCUGCCGUGAAAGUCCGGGGCUCAACUCCGGAUCUGCGGUGGGUACGGGCAGACUAGAGUGAUGUAGGGGAGACUGGAAUUCCUGGUGUAGCGGUGAAAUGCGCAGAUAUCAGGAGGAACACCGAUGGCGAAGGCAGGUCUCUGGGCAUUAACUGACGCUGAGGAGCGAAAGCAUGGGGAGCGAACAGGAUUAGAUACCCUGGUAGUCCAUGCCGUAAACGUUGGGCACUAGGUGUGGGGGACAUUCCACGUUUUCCGCGCCGUAGCUAACGCAUUAAGUGCCCCGCCUGGGGAGUACGGCCGCAGGCUAAACUCAAAGGAAUUGACGG